GACGAACGCUGGCGGCGUGCCUAAUACAUGCAAGUAGAACGCACAGUUUAUACCGUAGCUUGCUACACCAUAGACUGUGAGUUGCGAACGGGUUAGUAACGCUUAGGUAACCUUCCUGGUAGCGGGGGAUAACUAUUGGAAACGAUAGCUAAUACCGCAUAAUAUUUAUUAUUGCAUGAUAAUUGAUUGAAAGAUGCUAUUGCAUCACUACCAGAUGGACCUGCGUUGUAUUAGCUAGUAGGUGAGGUAACGGCUCACCUAGGCGACGAUACAUAGCCGACCUGAGAGGGUGAUCGGCCACACUGGGACUGAGACACGGCCCAGACUCCUACGGGAGGCAGCAGUAGGGAAUCUUCGGCAAUGGACGAAAGUCUGACCGAGCAACGCCGCGUGAGUGAAGAAGGUUGUCGGAUCGUAAAGCUCUGUUGUAAGAGAAGAACGGGUGUGAGAGUGGAAAGUUCACACUGUGACGGUAUCUUACCAGAAAGGGACGGCUAACUACGUG
rnacentral:rRNA from 1 species